AUGGAGGGAGAUUAAUGUGAAUGGGGUGCCGUCUUUUCCGGUGGUCAUCGAUGGCUAUCACUAUCGCCGCGCCAUCUCUUGCAAUGAGCGCCACCGUCGAGCCUCGAUCCCGCCCGUCCUCAUCCGCUUCUUCCUCUCCUCCUCCGCCGCCCUCGCUCUUGGUAGGUUUCUUGAUGGAUCUCGUCGGCUACGUGGAGGACACGGCCGCCGCAUCACCAUGCGAUCUUCCCACUAGGGAGUAUGCACCGUCUUCUCCAUGUGCUUGUCAAGUCUCGGGAGGGUUCUUCGUUAGGCUUCUUUCUAAACGAAGGAACAGCUUCCUUCGCUUGGUGGAUCAGUUGGAAAAGGGUAAGUGGGUGGUAAGUAUAGUUGCUCAUUUAAUCUUGGCAUUUUCAUGGGAAGCGACUUCUUGGUUUGAAAUUUGCAUGUCUUUUGAGUGUUUUUGUCUUCUCCUAACAUGCCAGAACUUAAAUUGGCAGAAAUUCUUUCAGAAUAAAGCAGUGACAAUUAGAGUCAGAUUUGUUCAGAACCAUUAGAAUUAUGUUAUUUAACAUGGAUAAUCUUGAAUCUGGCAUAUAUUAUAAUUAUUCUUUCUUUCUUCUUGUUUAUACUUUGGAUUCAAGGAUAGAUCAGAGGCAUAAGCAUAAUAUUGAAGGUACUUGGGAUAUAAGGCAUGGACAUGGACACAGAAUUUAGGACGAAAAGCAAAACAGCACAUGGCACAGACAUGGUAGGUAUGGAAAUGAAAUGAGUGGAAAAUGAUAAAACAGAAGAUAACAAGCUCACUACCCAAAUAAAGUGAUACAUAUAUCAUCACCCAAAGAGUAUAGGGCUUAACAACUCUAUAGUAUCCACCAAAGAGAUAUGGAUUUGCAAGAGAAGAAUAAGACCUCUGAAAAAAAAUUUAUUCUCGUAUUCCCUCUUAAGGCUUUCAAGACAUGAUAUUUAUAGUGUUAGGCUUGGAACAAACCUCCAAGCAUGAGUUAUUAAUGCUUCAACAUUUUCAAGAUCAAAAUAAAUAAAAACUAAAUUAAAUAUUUGUAAUAACUCAAAGUCAUCUAGGAACUCCAAAAGGUGAGAAUAACUUUCUUACGAUCUCGAUAGAACAAUUACUUAAUCAUUGUAGAAAGAACUGAAUGUAACUUUCUCUUGAAAACUUGAAAUCAAAUUUUGUAAAUUGCUUUGAACUCCUAACUCAACAAACUUUUAGUGAUGUAUAAUUUAUCAAGGAAUUAAUGUGGAAUGAGUAUUAAGAUUUUGAUUUAUUGGAAAACUAAGAGAUCAAUGUAACUAUCUUGACUUCUCUUAACUGAGAGUAUGGGGACACUUCUAUAUUAGUAACUAAUUCAUGUACACAUUCAAUGUAGAUGAUCUGUCUUCGUCAAAUGUGAAGCUUUUAAGAAACAUAACAGCCAUUCCCAUAGUUAGCAAACAUUAAUUGAAAAUACUUGAUGUAGCCUUAUAAUAUCCAUCCCACAUAUAUACAAUACAUUGAUAUAAAUGACUGAGUAGGAUAGGUUCCUAGUAUGCUUAUAAGUUCCUAACGCCCUAUUAGGUUAUUAUCUCUUAAUUGAAAUUACACAUGCUUAUAUAGUCAUGUACCAUUUUUGGGCUCCAGAAGAGGAGCAAAAUAUAAGUUCUAAGUCAUAUGAAUCUUUUUGUAGAUUGGCAUGAAUCAGGUCUUUAUAUAUUACCUGAUCGAAAAUAUUCUUGCAAAAAAAGUUACCAGCUUUUGGAAGUGCCACAACAGAACUUCAAUAUGCUAAAUGUAUGGAUGUCAUAAGUUAUCCCAGUUUAUAAUUUCACAGUGUGCAGGAUUGUUAUUGGAAUGUUGACUGUGUUCAAGAAGACAAAUGUUAAUUUCCAGUUUUGGCUUGCAGAGUUGUGCUAGGGGAGAGACAUCACAAUUCAGCAACUCUAUGGUGCUAAGGCCACUUGUGAUGGUUCUCAUGCUAAAGACGAGCCCUUCUUCACCUGGCUUUCCAGCUUGUGUUGCAAGCCAUGGGGGGAGGGGAAGCAACAGCAGCAGCAGCAACACAGCCUUAAAUGCCACGACGGCAACUUGUGAUAUUCCGUGUAGCUGACCGUAUGCUGCUCUCCUUGAGUGCCUUGGACGAGGAUGUGCCUCGGAUCUUAGCUUGCUUGGUCGGUCGGUUCAUCUUGACUGGUAAACUGUGUUCAAUAAACAUAUUUAUGCGUGCAUAUUUUUUUACAUAAUCCUUUUGGUAGGAUGAUGCCUUAAAUUCUUAACUUUUGGUAAAAGAAAUAUUACGGUUUACUGACAGCCUACUUGUUCAUUGUUCAUGGACCACAUCUACACGACCAUAUUGUUCGAGACUUAUGGCAGGAAAAACCAGCGAGCAUUAUACUGAUGACAGGUUAUUGUGGUAAGGCCCAUUUACCUAUCCUCUAUGGAAGAACAUGUACUCUACUGUGGUGAACCUGUAAGCAGCAGCUCAAAUCUCCCUUGCUCUAAAUUGUGUAGCUUUGCGAUGUAUGUACAUCAUGAGUGUUUUUGGCUUGGUCGAAUGUAAUAAAAUCUCUCUCUCUCUCUCUCUCUCUCUCUCUCUCUCUCUCUCUCUCUUGUAGCAUGAGGUACCUGAUGACUAAAUGUGAUAUUGGUACC